rnacentral:rRNA from 1 species
GGCGAGUGAAGUGGGAUGAGCUCAGCACCGAAGCCGGCGGCCGAGAGGCCGUCGUGCAAUGUGGUGUUCGGGAGGGCUCUGUCCGUGUCCGGUGUCGGUCCAAGUCUCCUGGAAAGGAGUUCCGUGGAGGGUGACAGGCCCGUGCGACCGAGCGCCGCGCUCGCGGACGAGUCCUCCUUCGAGUCGGGUUGCUCGCUAAUGCAGCCCUAAGCAGGUGGUAAGCUCCAUCUAAGGCUAAAUAUAACCACGAGUCCGAUAGUCAACAAGUACAGUGAUGGAAAGUUGAAAAGUACUCUGAAGAGAGAGUCAAAUAGCCCGUGAAGCUGCCAGUAUGGGAUUAAGCGCACGUGUGACGCGUGUCGUCGGACAAAUAGGCGCUCGUCGGCUGCUGCACGGCGCGCGCUCGGCAUCGGAAACGGUGUCGGCGCGUGUCGCUGUCGGGCGGCUGGCGGCACGCCUCCCUUUGUUCGGCAUUGACAGGUCGGGGCUUCGUUGUCCGGUCUUAUUGCCGGUCGUUAUCUCGAGAGCCGUGUCGGACCGGUGCCGUCUUCGGACGUGUGCCGGCGCUCCGCGGAAUGUGCGCCUCGUGCGGCCGCGGCCGGCUUGGUCUCGAGUGCAAUGCGACCGAUUGGCGAACGACUGGGCGACGGCCAGCGCAAAUCGACUCGCAAGAGUCGGCUCGGCCUUUGCGUCGUCACGUGCGGCCCGUCUUGAAACACGGACCAAGGAGUCUAACAUGUGAGCGAGCGAUUGAGAUUGUCGAAUCUCAAACGCGCAAUGAAAGUGAAGUGUCGUCUGACGGCACGAGCGGAGAUCCGUCGUCAUUCGUGGCGGCGGCGCACCCGCGGGCCACGCCAUCGGCUGGCUUGCUUUUCGGAGCACUGCUGAGGCGUGGACCUAGAGCCCACACGUUGGGACCCGAAAGAUGGUGAACUAUGCCUGGCCAGGAUGAAGCCAGAGGAAACUCUGGUGGAGGUCCGCCGCGAUUCUGACGUGCAAAUCGAUCGUCUGAGCUGGGUAUAGGGGCGAAAGACCAAUCGAACCAUCUAGUAGCUGGUUCCGCCCGAAGUUUCCCUCAGGAUAGCUGGCGCUCGUGUGAUACGGAGUUUCAUCCGGUAAAGCGAAUGAUCAGAGGAGCUGGGCUCCUUGCGAGCUCAACCUAUUCUCAAACUUUCAAUGGGUGAGACGUCUCGCUGGCUUCACUGCAGCGACGACUCUGAAUCCGAGUGCCCAGUGGGCCACUUUUGGUAAGCAGAAC